ACUGGUGACCCGUGUUUUGAUUAGAGGUCUUAUUUUGAUAAAUUUCGGUUGAAAAUUUAAAGAUUUAGACCCUCUUUUUAAGUAUAACGUUUUUCUUUUUCUGUUUUAACAAAUUGUAUAUGUUAUUUUAGGUGAUAUAUUCAAAUUUUUCUUCCAAUUUUAAGUUAGACGAGAAAUCAUUUAUUAGAAAUGUUACUUUAGAUUUUAUUAAAAUUCUAAGCAUAUUACUUCCAAUUUUGAUUUAAGAAUAGAAA
rnacentral:lncRNA from 1 species